rnacentral:rRNA from 1 species
AGUGAACGCUGGCGGUAGGCCUAACACAUGCAAGUCGAACGGCAGCACAGUAAGAGCUUGCUCUUACGGGUGGCGAGUGGCGGACGGGUGAGGCAUACAUCGGAAUCUACUUUUUCGUGGGGGAUAACGUAGGGAAACUUACGCUAAUACAGCAUACGUUCUACGGGUGAAAGCAGGGGAUAUUCGGACCUUGCGCGAUUGAAUGAGACGAUGUCGGAUUAGCUAGUUGGCGGGGUAAAGGCACACCAAGGCGACGAUCCGUAGCUGGUCUGAGAGGAUGAUCAGCCACACUGGAACUGAGACACGGUCCAGACUCCUACGGGAGGCAGCAGUGGGGAAUAUUGGACAAUGGGCGAAAGCCUGAUCCAGCCAUGCCGCGUGAGUGAAGAAGGCCUUCGGAUUGUAAAGCCCUUUUGUUAGGAAAGAAAAGCUGCAGGUUAAUCCCCCGCUGUUCUGACGGUACCCAAAGAGUAAGCACCGGCUAACUUCGUG